GUGCAAAAACUUGAUUUCCUUUAAUUGGGCCACAUUCCGAAUUCAGAAAGCCGGCAAAACUAGAUGGCCCAAUAGGAAAGAGCCUGCUGACCUGACGAUACUGAAUUCAAAGCGAUCAACUAUCCUGGCUUAUGGCUUGGUUUUCUCCUUUCCUUAUCCACAAAAUCUGUCUCUAUGGAGGAGAAAACAGACAUAUCAUGAUUUAUGAAAGUUAUGGGAGAAACACCAGCAGAAACAGAGCUAGAAUACAACCGAAUAAAAUGUGGUCAAAUCAGAAACUGAUGCAGCACUCACCCCAGUUGCUUCAACCCCCAGCACUACCUCCUCCACAAACUCAAACCAUAAGUAUCAAGCAAUGCUGUAAAGUCUCGCGCAGAGAACUUGCAAUUUGCACCAACUCAUCUUUGCUAUUACUCUUAGGCUCACAGACAGUGGAGCCAUUGCACCAUUCAAGAGCAAGAGCGGAGGAAAUUGAGGAUACAAGUAAAGAAACUGAGCAGCUUGUGGAAAGUGAGGAAAAUGAAGUUCCUAGGAACUCUGAACUUGUGGAAAGUGAGGUUGUUCCUCCAAGCACCGAACAACCAGUGGAAAGUGAGGAUGAUCCUCAAAAAACUGAACAACUUGCCCCAGAAGACGAUUCAAAGAAAACUGCAGAUCCCUGUGGAGAACAAAAUCCAACCCAGAGGGCAUUUCUUGAAGUGUCAAUUGAUGGCGUGCCUCUUGGUAGAAUUGUGAUCGGGCUAUACAGUGAUAGUGUUCCAUUUGGUACAGCCCGAUUCAGUGAUCUUGUCAGUGGUGCAGCGGGCAUUAGUUAUAGAAGAAAAGAAUUUGUUAAGAUCACGCCAAACUAUGUCCAACAUAGCGGAGUGAGAUCAUAUGGUGUUGAUGCUGAGCUUGCGAGGAAGGCUGGAAGCAAUUUGGCUGCUGACAGACUCACAGAUGAAUGGGAAAAGCAGUAUGCGGCUUGUCCAGGGACAAAGAAUUUGGCCAAAAGCAUUGGCAUUGUAGUGAGGGAUCCUUCAAAACCACCACCCAAGUUGAAAUUGAUUGCACGCAAAGGGAAGCUAGAGAUUGAUCAAGAACAGGUGGGAGUGGAUCCUAAUGGGACAGAAUUUGUCAUUGCUAUUAAAGACUCGCCUGAACUAGAUGCAUCAACAUUAGUGAUUGGAAGAGUAUUGGAAGGAAUGGACGUUGUUGAGAAGAUUGGCCAAGUGAAGACAGUACAGGAGAAUACCAGUUCUCCCUAUUUCAGGGUAGCAAAGUUGAUAGGAGACAAAAGGGCUGUUGUAGCAGAGAGAGGCUUUAAUCGACCAUAUUCAAAGGUGUUGAUUACCAAUUGUGGGUUGAUAAAAUGAAUGAAGCCGCUAUAGAUCACUUAUUUCCAUUAUGUAAUAGAGGACAAGAUUGUGCGGGGAAAUUCUUUCACAUUGAUGAUUCUCAGUAAAUUUUUGUGCUGUCAUAAAUUGUGCUGUCAUAAAUUGGAGUUAUGCAUACAUGGCCAGUACAGCUGCAAUCGCAACAAGCUGAAAAUAAUGAAAAGCUAUUACACUCAUCCUUAAAAGGAAAUCUUUAAAUUCAAGUAGGCAAGAAAAACUAGAAAAGCUAAGUAUGCAUACGUGAGUGUGCUUUCCUGAUUAGCUCUGCAAUCUCACAAUCAUUUGACAUGCUGCAAAGUCAACACUAUCCCAGGCACUAGCUCGCAUGAGUAUGCUUCGUUCUUUUUACAGGUGGGGAACUGAAAAGCUUUCUGAUUGAAGCAAUUGGAUCAUCCACCUAUAUCAAAGAGAGGGCAUAAGAAUGCAUUUGACACAUAUACAUUUACAAAGGAGGAAGCCAAGUAGACAGAGAAAAUUAAAUAGGCUAAGACUGCGGCUACAAGACAAAGAAUUCACCCAACAAGCAUUUCAGUUUGGAACCGUAUCUCAAAUGGGUUUAGGAAGAUGGUGGAUUUUCAGCAAAGGACUCCGAGAAUUCUUUAUGGCGUUGUAAAGCAGACAGAGUUUGUUUCCAUCCAGGAGUAGAAUUACCAAUGGAUGCAAUCCACGGACAAAAAAGUUUGUGCUGCCUGAUCGGAUCGAACUCCAUCGAGUUGUGCAGUGAUUCUUGUUCUGGAUUCCUUCCUGUAGAACAGCAGAUAAAAAGCUUACCAAUAUUUUUCAGACUAAGAACUAACCUCUGAACCCUUUAGAAGUAGACCAGAUAAAAUAUCAGUAACUACUUUUUUUACAUCAACUGCUAGACAGUCAAAAUAACAUGAAAGUAGGAAAUGGGUAAGAACCUUUACAGUGUAUUAUAUAUGUUAACAUACCAGGACACAUAUCAUGCUUCACAUAUAGUAUGAUGUUAUAUGCA